UACGUAGGGUGCAAGCGUUGUCCGGAAUUAUUGGGCGUAAAGAGCUCGUAGGCGGUUUGUCGCGUCUGCUGUGAAAUCUGGGGGCUCAACCCCCAGCCUGCAGUGGGUACGGGCAGACUAGAGUGCGGUAGGGGAGAUUGGAAUUCCUGGUGUAGCGGUGGAAUGCGCAGAUAUCAGGAGGAACACCGAUGGCGAAGGCAGAUCUCUGGGCCGUAACUGACGCUGAGGAGCGAAAGCAUGGGGAGCGAACAGGAUUAGAUACCCUGGUAGUCCAUGCCGUAAACGUUGGGAACUAGAUGUGGGGGCCAUUCCACGGUCUCCGUGUCGCAGCUAACGCAUUAAGUUCCCCGCCUGGGGAGUACGGCCGCAAGGCUAAA
rnacentral:rRNA from 1 species